rnacentral:rRNA from 1 species
GUAGGUGGCAAGCGUUGUCCGGAAUUAUUGGGCGUAAAGCGCGCGCAGGCGGGUCCUUUAAGUCUGAUGUGAAAGCCCACGGGCUCAACCGUGGAGGGUCAUUGGAAACUGGGGGACUUGAGUACAGAAGAGGAAAGCGGAAUUCCAAGUGUAGCGGUGAAAUGCGUAGAGAUUUGGAGGAACACCAGUGGCGAAGGCGGCUUUCUGGUCUGUAACUGACGCUGAGGCGCGAAAGCGUGGGGAGCAAACAGGAUUAGAUACCCUGGUAGUCCACGCCGUAAACGAUGAGUGCUAAAUGUUAGGGGGUUUCCGCCCCUUAGUGCUGCAGCUAACGCAUUAAGCACUCCGCCUGGGGAGUACGGCCGCAAAGGCUG